AUAAAGAGAGGAGAUUGAAAGUUUCUUGAUAUCCCACCCGUCUUUACUCUCAUUUGUAAAAACCCUUCCCACCAUCAAACCGUUUCACCUUCAUUUCCCCUUUCCUCCCUCUCUUUAUUUCUCAACCCCGAAAGAUAGAAGGAAUGCAGAGGCAAAAGAAGGGUUCCACUGCAAAAAACCCUUAAAAACAGAGAGGAAAGAUCAACAGAGGGGUUAGGGUUUAGUACCACUGGCAGAGGGUGAUGUGAAAAAGGAGAACGUUAAGUGGUCUCAUUUGGGUUUAUUACUCUGAUUGAUGGAAGCGAAGAUGUGUUCGUUCACCAAUCAGCACACCCAGGAGAAGCAGCAAUGGAGGUGGGUGCAACACAAAAUUCCAAGAAAGACAACCCUACUUGGUUUGCAGAGCAGUAGAGAAGAAAGCGCAAGAAAAAGGGAAAAGAAAUUAAGUUGGAAACUUCUCUCUUCUCUCUAUUUGUAUCUCUUUAUGGCAUUGAGUGCAAGAAUCUUGGCCAAAGGAGGGAGCUGUUGCUGACUAAGUUUCAAGAGAAGCACAAAACACUAAGUUCAGAUAAAUGCCCUAAAGAACCUGAAGCCCAACCAACCUUCUGGAAUAAGUGGAAAGUCAAAAUUAGAACAACAGAAGCAUGUAGCAGAUAAAUCAAGGGUAUUGGAGAACUUCAUUCCUAUAUCUAUGAUCAGCCACACCAAAACCCUUGUAUUGUAUUUGCCCUCUAAAAUAAUGCAACUUGCAUUUAUUUUAUGUGAAAGAAUUUUAAACAAUCUUAGUCUGAAUAAGUUAUGUUAAGUUUUUUUUCUAAUUCUAGAAAAAAAAUGUGAAGCUUUAUAAUCAAAGUAUCAAUGGAGAAGCUAUUAAUUUGUGAUUCUAUUAGAGAAUUGAAGUCUAGAGUAAACUGAGUUGAACAUUAUUAGAUUUCCUAGUUGGACCUCUUAUUAUUAGUAUUCUUGUCGUUUCUAUUGUUAUUUAUUAUCAUCGGUAGGUGAAGGUUUGUAGAAGAUUGGGUUACCAAAACAAAAAAUAGAUAACUGGAGAUUUGUUCCUUAAAAUGCCACGUUAAAUAUCUUGUGUUUAAUAAAGAAAAUCUACUUUA